GAUGAACGCUGGCGGCGUGCCUAAUACAUGCAAGUCGAGCGAACGGACGAGAAGCUUGCUUUUCUGAUGUUAGCGGCGGACGGGUGAGUAACACGUGGAUAACCUACCUAUAAGACUGGGAUAACUUCGGGAAACCGGAGCUAAUACCGGAUAAUAUUUUGAACCGCAUGGUUCAAAAGUGAAAGACGGUCUUGCUGUCACUUAUAGAUGGAUCCGCGCUGCAUUAGCUAGUUGGUAAGGUAACGGCUUACCAAGGCAACGAUGCAUAGCCGACCUGAGAGGGUGAUCGGCCACACUGGAACUAGGACACGGUCCAGACUCCUACGGGAGGCAGCAGUAGGGAAUCUUCCGCAAUGGGCGAAAGCCUGACGGAGCAACGCCGCGUGAGUGAUGAAGGUCUUCGGAUCGUAAAACUCUGUUAUUAGGGAAGAACAUAUGUGUAAGUAACUGUGCACAUCUUGACGGUACCUAAUCAGAAAGCCACGGCUAACUACGUG
rnacentral:rRNA from 1 species